rnacentral:rRNA from 1 species
GACGAACGCUGGCGGCGUGCUUAACACAUGCAAGUCGAACGGAAAGGCCCUGCUUUUGUGGGUUGCUCGAGUGGCGAACGGGUGAGUAACACGUGAGUAACCUGCCCUUGACUUUGGGAUAACUUCAGGAAACUGGGGCUAAUACCGGAUAGGAGCUCCUGCUGCAUGGUGGGGGUUGGAAAGUUUCGGCGGUUGGGGAUGGACUCGCGGCUUAUCAGCUUGUUGGUGGGGUAGUGGCUUACCAAGGCUUUGACGGGUAGCCGGCCUGGGAGCGGGACCGGCCACCAGGCGCCUGCGAGACGCCCCAGACGGCAACGGGCGGCAGCAGGGGGGAACCUUGCAGAACGGGGGCAAGUCUGAUGUAGCAACGCUCCGUUCGGGAUGCCGGCCUUCGGGUGGUAAACAGAUUUGUCCGUUGCCGAAGACUGAGUGACGGUAACUGGUCAGGAAGCACCGGCUAACUACGUG